rnacentral:rRNA from 1 species
GCCUAACACAUGCAAGUCGAACGGAGCCAUCUAAACAAUCCCUUCGGGGUGCGUUUGGGGAAGCUUAGUGGCGGACGGGAGAGUAACGCGUGAGUAACCUGCCUUUCAUAGGGGGAUAACGUUCCGAAAGGAACGCUAAUACCGCAUAACGUAUUUUUACCGCAUGAUAGAGAUACCAAAGAUUUAUCGCUGAAAGAUGGACUCGCGUCUUAUUAGCUAGUUGGAGGGGUAACGGCCCACCAAGGCGACGAUCAGUAGCCGAACUGAGAGGUUGAUCGGCCACAUUGGGACUGAGACACGGCCCAGACUCCUACGGGAGGCAGCAGUGGGGGAUAUUGCGCAAUGGGGGAAACCCUGACGCAGCAAUGCCGCGUGAAGGAAGAAGGUCUUCGGAUCGUAAACUUUUGUCUUCAGGGACGAUAAUGACGGUACCUGAGGAGGAAGCCACGGCUAACUACGUGCCAGCCGCCGCGGUAAGAC